rnacentral:rRNA from 1 species
AGGGUUUGAUCCUGGCUCAGAACGUACGCUGGCGGCACGCCUAACACAUGCAAGUCGAACGAAGUAGCAAUACUUAGUGGCAGACGGGUGAGUAACAUGUAGGUAUCUGCCCUUUGGCCUGGAAUAACACGAGGAAACUUGUGCUAAUACCGGAUAAGUCUUUACGGAGAAAGCUUUAUGCACCAUUGGAUGAGCCUGCACUUGAUUAGUUUGUUGGUGGGGUAAUGGCCUACCAAGACUGUGAUCAAUAGCUGAUUUGAGAGGAUGAUCAGCCACAUUGGGACUGAGACACGGCCCAAACUCCUACGGGAGGCAGCAGUGGGGAAUCUUGCACAAUGGAGGAAACUCUGAUGCAGCGAUGCCGCGUGAGUGAAGAAGGCCCUUGGGUUGUAAAGCUCUUUCGUCGGGGAAGAAAAUGACUGUACCCGAAUAAGAAGGUCCGGCUAACUUCGUGCCAGCAGCCGCGGUAAUACGAAGGGACCUAGCGUAGUUCGGAAUUACUGGGCUUAAAGAGUUCGUAGGUGGUUGAAAAAGUUGGUGGUGAAAUCCCAGAGCUUAACUCUGGAACUGCCAUCAAAACUUUUCAGCUAGAGUAUGAUAGAGGAAAGCAGAAUUUCUAGUGUAGAGGUGAAAUUCGUAGAUAUUAGAAAGAAUACCAAUUGCGAAGGCAGCUUUCUGGAUCAUUACUGACACUGAGGAACGAAAGCAUGGGUAGCGAAGAGGAUUAGAUACCCUCGUAGUCCAUGCCGUAAACGAUGUGUGUUAGACGUUGGAAAUUUAUUUUCAGUGUCGCAGCGAAAGCGAUAAACACACCGCCUGGGGAGUACGACCGCAAGGUUAAAACUCAAAUGAAUUGACGGGGACCCGCACAAGUAGUGGAGCAUGUGGUUUAAUUCGAAGAUACGCGCAGAACCUUACCAACACUUGACAUGUUCGUCGCGACUUUAAGAGAUUAAAGUUUUCGGUUCGGCCGGACGAAACACAGGUGCUGCAUGGCUGUCGUCAGCUCGUGUCGUGAGAUGUUGGGUUAAGUCCCGCAACGAGCGCAACCCUCACUUUUAGUUGCCAUCAUUAAGUUGGGCACUCUGAAAGAACUGCCAGUGAUAAGCUGGAGGAAGGUGGGGAUGACGUCAAGUCCUCAUGGCCCUUACGUGUUGGGCUACACACGUGCUACAAUGGUAUCUACAACAGGAAGCAAGACGGCGACGUUAAGCAAAUCCUUAAAAGAUACCUCAGUUCGGAUUGCACUCUGCAACUCGAGUGCAUGAAGCUGGAAUUACUAGUAAUCGUGGAUCAGCGUGCCACGGUGAAUGCGUUCCCGGGUCUUGUACACACCGCCCGUCACACCAUGGGAGUUGGUUCUACCUUAAGGCAAGGUUUAAAACCCUUGACCACGGUAUAGUCAGCGACUGGGGUGAAGUCGUAACAAGGUAGCCGUA